UGGGGAAUAUUGGACAAUGGGCGAAAGCCUGAUCCAGCCAUGCCGCGUGUGUGAAGAAGGUCUUCGGAUUGUAAAGCACUUUAAGAUGGGAGGAAGGGCAGUAAGCGAAUACCUUGCUGUUUUGACGUUACCGACAGAAUAAGCACCGGCUAACUCUGUGCCAGCAGCCGCGGUAAUACAGAGGGUGCAAGCGUUAAUCGGAAUUACUGGGCGUAAAGCGCGCGUAGGUGGUUCGUUAAGUUGAAUGUGAAAGCCCCGGGCUCAACCUGGGACCGGCAUCCAAAACUGGCGAGCUAGAGUAGGGCAGAGGGUGGUGGAAUUUAAUGUGUAGCGGUGAGAUGCGUAGAUAUAGGAAGGAACACCAGUGGCGAAGGCGACCACCUGGGCUCAUACUGACACUGAGGUGCGAAAGGGUGGGGAGCAAACAGG
rnacentral:rRNA from 1 species